UUGUCCUGAGGAGCCAUGAUUUCUCCAGGAGCUGGGUAAAGGGCACCGGGAUCAGCCUCUCAAAGGAUUCCAGCCGGCUGUUCCAGUCCAGGAGGACACCUGUGCCACUGAAGUCUCCCAGCACCUGGGCAGUGAAGUGCCACUUAACCCCGCUGUGAUGCACAGACCUUGCCCUGGCUGUCUGCACAGGGCUGAAUUUCACCCCUUCCGAGUGUAUUCUAAGGGCCCCCCGUGCAUCAUAUGGGCAUUCUUGGGGGUGCAGAUGGCAUCAGACCUGCACCUAAAUAAAUAAUAGGGACUGAAAUAUGCAGACACUAAAGUUCUGCAGCCAAAUUCUCAGGAACCUUCCUCUUCCAUGUAGGAUCAGGAUUUUGUUUUGAAUUGUUUUAUUUUU